UACGUAGGCAGCGAGCGUUGUUCGGAGUUACUGGGCGUAAAGGGUGUGUAGGCGGUUCUUUAAGUUUGGUGUGAAAUCUCCCGGCUCAACCGGGAGGGUGCGCCGAAUACUGAGGGACUCGAGUGCGGGAGAGGAAAGUGGAAUUCCUGGUGUAGCGGUGAAAUGCGUAGAUAUCCGGAGGAACACCGGUGGUGUAGACGGCUUUCUGGACCGUAACUGACGCUGAGACACGAAAGCGUGGGUAGCAAACAGG
rnacentral:rRNA from 1 species